UACGGAGGGUGCAAGCGUUGUCCGGAUUCAUUGGGUUUAAAGGGUGCGCAGGCGGGACAUUAAGUCAGGGGUGAAAGACGGUUGCUCAACAAUCGCAGUGCCUUUGAUACUGGUGUUCUUGGGUAACCUUGAGGUAGGCGGAAUGGGUGGUGUAGCGGUGAAAUGCAUAGAUACCACCCAGAACUCCGAUUGCGAAGGCAGCCUACUGGAGGUCAACCGACGCUCAGGCACGAAAGCGUGGGAAUCAAACAGG
rnacentral:rRNA from 1 species